rnacentral:lncRNA from 1 species
CUCGGUAAAGUAAAAAGUAAGGAAGUCUUAGAUGCCACAGAACUCUUAGAAGGCUCUGUCAUUCUCCUUCGCUUUAUGGCUUUUUUUAUAGUAGGAGUUGUAGCAUUAGUUCUUUAGUCUUAUUUUUUUGCAUUAGUCUUGAGAGAUACGAUGAAUACUAAGUAAGGCUAAGCCUAAGGCAAGCUCUUUAAACCAUGGGGAAGGGAAGCAGUAGGAGUAGCACGUAUCACUCUUUCUAGUCUCUAUUCCCUAUAGGAGCAAUAGACUGCAUUUAAGCGCAAACCCAUUUCUUUCUUAGUCACCGGGCGGAGCGCACCUUUGGUACUUCAGUAGGGCGAGCUGUUUGAUAGUGACUUCUUUCAUUUGCUAGGGCGACGAAAGGCUACUUCAAUCUAGCAAACAGCCGGAAACUCGAGAGGGUCGACUUUGGAAGUGUUCGCCGCUAACCAAAGCGUCACUCCCUCCUUUUGAUUAUGUCGUGAUGCUGACUGAAUCCAAUCCA